rnacentral:rRNA from 1 species
UACGGAGGGGGCAAGCGUUGUUCGGAAUUAUUGGGCGUAAAGGGCAUGUAGGCGGUUCGGUAAGUUAAAGGUGAAAUGCCAGGGCUUAACCCUGGAGCUGCUUUUAAUACUGCCAGACUAGAGUCCGGGAGAGGAUAGCGGAAUUCCUAGUGUAGAGGUGAAAUUCGUAGAUAUUAGGAGGAACACCAGUGGCGAAGGCGGCUAUCUGGUCCGGUACUGACGCUGAGGUGCGAAAGCG